rnacentral:tRNA from 2 species
GCCCAGAUGGCGGAAUUGGUAGACGCGCCAGCUUCAGGUGCUGGUGACCGCAAGGUCGUGGAGGUUCGAGUCCUCUUCUGGGCACCA